GGGCUAGUGGUGCAAUGGAUAAUGCGUCUGACUACAGAUCAGAAGAUUCCCAGGUUCGAUUCCUGGCUAGCUCG